rnacentral:lncRNA from 1 species
UUUUUCUUAGGAAGAAGCAACAGGAUUGUACCCACCUAUAACGAGAAAGCUUAACUUACUGACAUAUUCUCAUUGCUGAAGACUCUGUCUGAAUGAGGAUUUCAAUCUCAAGUCUAGGAUGUGAUUUCAUCUGGUAAAUGUCUUAUGGAAGGCUGAGGAGCAGCCUAAUGAGGUGAAGGGGAGAGGCAGACACGGAAGAAGCGCAUCUGUAGCUAAGAAAGAAAUACACUGACCCCAUUUCCAGUGGUUGAGCUUCUCUCCAAGUAGGUAGAUGCUGGCGAUGAAGACGUAGCUGAGAGAGAA